GCGGAUGGACAGUUGGGCAGCCUGGUCUAGGUCAUACCCAGCAGGAGGGCAGGAAACUAAGACAGUUUGGGAAAUACAGCUUGGAGUUUUUGCCCAAACUGAUUGAUGGAGCCAAGUGCAUUGUUGCAAAGGAGUUAGCAGAGUAAUUUGUCCCAUUCUUAAUCUGUGAAUGUUUUGAGACCUGACUUUGUAUGGUUGUUUGCUGGACAGCAUCCAGCUGCCUGCUGCUAGCUAGAAGCACUGAUGCCUGCCCCUAGGCAUUUUCUGAAUGAACCUAGAAACACUGAACUGGGACUGCUGAUUGGAGCCUAACAGCAUGAAUGGUUAUAGGGUUUGCUUUUAUAGAGUUACAUAGGGUGACCAUAUUUCCUGGAUUGGUGGGGACAGUCCCAGAUUUCGGAGGCUGUCUCAGCAUCCGCGCUGCUGCAGAAAAUUGAAGCCAAAGUCCUGUAUUGGUGGGGACCUGCCCACACAUGCCUGGCUUCUGACUGACUCUACUGUGCAAGAGACUCCUGCCUCGCAGCUCAGUGGAGUCUGGACCAGGGAGCAGCCACUCCCCCAGAGCCGGCUAAUCUUGCUCUGUGGAGGCAGAUAACAUCGCUGGAAUUUUUCCAAUGUCCUUUACAAGCGCCUCCCCUUUGGACUUCAGCAGAGGCACACAAGAACAUGGUGCAAACUUCCUCAAUUACUCGCUCUUGUUUACUUUCCUUUGGGCCAAUAGUGAGCUUCCUCCGCCAGCCACUUCCUGCUUCGCUCCCCAUGGCUCUGCUCAGGGGGGUUGUUUUUAAUUAAGAGAAAGGUAGCAACAGAGGAGUCUCUUUGGUCAGGAAUUUGCCUCCAUUGACUACAGAUCAACUGCACUUUGGCCUCUUCUUUUGUUCCCUCUGCAGAGGGAGUAUUCUCUGCUGCACAGGCUUUCAAAAUAAGCUCGACUUCACUUUCUUUUGCCUUAACCAUGCCCAGCACGUUCUUGCAGGGGCUCAUUGAGCUCAGCCCUUCCCACAGGACAGAUGUGAAAUGUUCCCUGUAUGGGAGAAACAGAGUAUGGGGAGAAGGGGCAGCAAUGGAAUUGGGUCCCAUUCUGGCCCCACUUGAGUCACAGAGAGUUUCACUAGUGACUGUAGCAGGGACAACUGCUUUCUCAGACUGCUCAGCAAUUUCCAUGUACGUCUCUGCCCAAUCUGCUUCACACAGCAAAUCACUCUGCUACAAACAGUCAAGAAAUUAUACCCACCAGAGUGGAAUGGAGAGCUCAGAGCUGGCAGGAAGGGGCUCAGCAGGGUGCUGACAAGCCACCAACACCUGGAUGGGCCCUGAACACACCUGCACAGUUUAGCUUUUGAUUUGCACCCCUGUUUCACGCACUCUUUUAUGCCUCUAGAAGCUAUUUUUAGGCCUUGCAAUGACACAGGUUUUGAUCUUUUACUGCCUCCACUGUCCCUGGACUGUAAUGCCAGCAGGAGGACAGGAUAUAGGGCAUGCAUAAGUUAUUAAAAUGCCAGGGGAUACAUGCAAACACUGAUAAACCCAAAUAGAGAAAUCAGGCUCUUGUAGGGAAAAGGAGCAGCCAAAAGCUCCACCCAAGUAGGGCUGCAUUGUAUGAAGGGACAUCUAGGUAGCGAGUCCUACAAGAGGGAGCCAAAGGGAUCGUACAGAGAAAGGAGAAGCAUAGAGUGCCAGAGGUCUUGGGGCAAAUAAAUGCAGUGGUUCAGCACCCAGCCAGCUUCUCCUUGAGGGGUGUAAUGAGCAGGACGGGCAGUUGUCAGCAAAGAAGCCACAGACCACAGCAGUUGCACCAGUUUAACUACAAUUGGUUUGUCAAUUAGCUAAACUAAGUGGGUCCAAAACUCUUGUGUGCAUACCCUGGAAUGAGUUUACAGCUCAUUUACAUUCUGCUAAAUCACUCAAGACUGGCUGUAAAGUGGUUCAGGUGCAUCCCACGUAGGCUUUUGUAGUGGUUUAACUACAGCUUAUUUAAAUACUGUCAUGAGUUCAAUUUUUGUAACUUUUGUGUGGAGAGAUGACCUGACAUUGCCAGAGCAGUCAUGCCUCCUGCGACAACAUGGGCUGGCCAGAAGAGCAAAUUUCACAACUUUGCAAAAACAGUUCAUACUAAACGGAAAUAAAAAGUGAUAAGCUUAAAAGAGAGAGAGAAAAAGUAAAAAAAAAGAAAAAAAAAGAAAUACCAUAAUAUUUUGUUUCCAUAGCACUGAAAUGACUCCACAGUGCUGACACCCCAGUGUUAUGAUAAUAAAAUAUGGCCCCAGUUCCCCAGACUUCAAGGCAAGCUGCAGAGGAACUGGGGACAGUCCCUCAAUAUCCCAGGUUGGCAAGGAGGCAGACAAGUGAGCCUGGCAGGAAACCUGCUUGGUUGUUGAAUUAUCAAAAUUGACAGUUUCUCUUUUGAUGUAUCACCAUUUUGCAAUGGGAAAAAUAUUCUUGUGAAGAACUUUUGCUCAGCUCUUCCCCACUGUUGUGAGGUAGGGCAGCUAGCCCACAACAGCUCCCAUCUCUGCUGCAGGUGAGGGCUACUUUGGAUAAAUAUAAACAUAACCCAAAGGACUUGCUUUCUGGGAUCACAACUCUGGGAAAUGAACCCUAGCCUGCAUCCUUCUGGCAUGUGAUUUUCAUAAAUCUUUUGUUCUUUGCAAGAAGGAGUCAUACCUGACACAGGGCAUGGGUAAUCCUAACUUCUGACCAGGCUGGAGGCUGCUGGUGCAAGACCCCCCUAGCCCAGCAGUUAUGCAACAACAGAGCAAGCCAAUACAAUCUGCAACUUUUCCUUCCCUUUCUUUGAUAGCAUGGCAGGACAGGGGGAUAGCUAGGGCACCUGGGAAGGGGAACAGGCAGCAGGCAGGAGGCUGCUCUUUGCCAGUGCAGGGCAUGAUGGUCCCUGCUUAAGAGGUUGCUAUUUGGACUUCCUGUUUUAUUCUGCACUUUCCCAGGCAUAACUUCACCAUUCUUUAUAACUAUGGGUCUGCCCUUCAGGGACCCAGGGACAGUUCAGCUAAGGUACAGCAGAGUUCCAAGCUGAAGGGAGUGGGACUGUGGUUCAAUCAGUGAUUGAGGAAUAUAAGAUGUUGAGCUUUUUCAGAUGUAGUGAGUGUCAGAGUUGCACCUGAACCCACUACAGCAGUGGGGCCAACCUUCUGGCCAUCAUCUUUGAAAACUUGUGGUGAUUGGGAGAAAUCCCAGACAACUGGAAAAUAGAAUCAUAGAAAAUUAGGGUUGGAAGGGACCUCAGGCGGUCAUUUAGUCCAAAAGGGCAAAUAUAGUGCCCUUAUAUAGAAAGGGAAAGUGCCAAAUAUAGAAAGGGAAGCAGGGAGAUCCAGUCAGCAACAAACAGGUCUGCCUCACCUGAGUCCUUGGAAAAAUCAUGCAGCAGGUCCUCAAGGAAUCUAUUUCUAAGCAGUUGGAGGAGAAGAAGGUGAUUAGGAACAGUCAACAUGGAGUCACCAGGGGCAAGUCAUGCCUGACCAACCUGAUUGCUUUCUGUGAUGAGAUGACUGGCUCUGUGGAUGGGGGAAAGAAGUGGACGUGAUAUACCUUGACUUUAGCAAGGCUUUUGAUACUGUCUCCCACAGCAUUCUUGCAAGCAAGCUAAGGAAGUGGGCUGAAUAAAUGGCUUAUAAGGUGGAUAGAAAACUGGCUGGACCAUUGGGCGCAGAGUGUAGCAAUCAAUGGCUAGCUGGCAGCCAGUAUCAAGUGGAGUGCCUUGGGGUUGGUCCCCAGGUGUUGGUUUUGUUCAAUAUCUUUAUCAAUGACCUGGAAGAUGGGAUGGACUGCAUGGAAGUUUAUGAAUGACACCAAGCUGGGGGGAGUAGUGGAUAUGCUGGAGGGCAGGGCUAGGAUUUAGAGAGACCUCAACAAAUUGGAGGACUGGACCAAAAUAAAUCUCAUGAAGUUCAAUAAUUUAUGAUGGAAUAAUCCCAUUCACCGGUACAGGCUGAGGACUGACUGAUUAAGCAGCAGCUGUGUAGAAAAGGCCCUGGGGAUUACAGUGGACAAUACGCUGAAUAUGAACCAACAGCGUGCCUUUGUUGCGAAGUAGGCUAACGGCGUACUUGGCUGCGUUAGUCCGAGUGUUGCCAGCAGAUUGAGGAAAGUGAUUCUUCCCCUCUGUUCAGCACUGGUGAGGCCGCAUCUGGAGUACUGUGUCCAGUUUUGGGCUCCUCACUACAGAAUGGAUGUAGACAAAUUGGAGAGAGUCCAGUGAAGGGCAACAAAAAUAGUUUGGGGUCUGGGGCUGUGACUUCUGAGGAGAGGCUGAGAGGACUGGUCUCAUUUAGUCUGGAGAAGAGAAGACUGAGGGGGGAUUUAAUAGCAGCCUUCAACUACCUGAAGGGUGUUUCCAAAGAUGAUGGAGCUUUUUCAGUGGCUCAAGCAGAGUGAAAUAGAAUCAUAUUUAUUCUCAUAAGUCCACUUAAGCAUGUAAUAUGUGGAAAAGACCUGGCUCUGGGUGUCUACUGGGUGAGUUAGGCUUUAGCCCCAUUGUCCUCAAAGGGAAAUUUUCUGAAAUGUAUAAGACCCUCUAAAAGCAGUAGUGUCGGCAGUCUUGAGGGUUAACCAAAUUGUCCUGCUUCAAGGAAAAACACUGGCUGCUAAUUCACUCCACAGAUUAUCUGUUCUCAUGUAUACUUAUACCAUCUCUCAACUUAAGUGGUAGUCCUCCUCACCCAUACAGAGGAUCAUCACCAAAGUAAGCAAAAAGAACCAAACAAUACAAAGACCAUUUCCCAGGUGUUAGAAAAAUGUCCCUCAUAUUUUUUGUAGUUCUGUGCUUGGGGGGCUUUCCCUACACCUGGAAAGUCCAGUAAGUUAGUCCACAUUGAAGAGUCACAGACUGCUUUCCUUCCUUUGGAGGACCAGUAGGGGGAAUUACUAUUUUGAAAAUUAAACCAAUGUUGUGAUGAAUUUUAUCAAGAAAGCAGAAGUGCUCUGUUCCACCAGUUCUCAGUCCAGAAACCUUUCCCUCCCACCCCCACAUCAUCCCCAACACGGAAACCACAGGACUCAAGAGCACUACCUGCUGGUACAGAACAGUCCCUCUUUUCAGGUGGCUUCCCCUUUUCACCUCCUUAGAUGAUCUGAAAAAUCUUUCUGGGCUGUGAGAACUGGAGAUAGGAGCAUUGGAAACAUGUUUUCAGAGCCACGGCAAUUAAUGCUGCCACUAUUCCCAUGCUGCCAAAUUUCUGGCCCUAUGGAGAGCCCCAUGGGCUGGCUGACACAGCUCCCUGGGCCUGCAUAUCUGUAAGUUGAGCACCACUGAUGUAGAGAUCCUAUGGCUUAGAAAUCAAAAAAAGGCAGGUAAUUUAGAAACUGGGGAGACUCCUAAGGGUGUUGAAGAGCAGGCCAGGACAACAUCUAGAUACAUAUUCUAGGAACGUGCAAGCACCAGAAGGUCCCAGUCCAUAAACUGCUGUUGCAGAGCGAUUUAUUUUGCUCUCUAGGAAUUUCCUGCAGGGUCACCAUGUGAAGCAAGCACCCAAAAAGGCAGGCAGCAGCAUGGCAAAGUUCUCACUUCUUUAUCCCUUCAAAUCAGAUGAUUUUAGUACAAACAAAAGUACAUUUAUAAAUGUGAAUGAUAAAACCUGACAACAUACCAAUGAGCAGUUGCUCCAUGUGGAAAGACCUUCUCCAGACUAAUCAGAGCAGCCUAGCCCAAGUGCCUCAGUCACCUCACCACUGACCUGUGGGUUAGCUAAGUUAAUUGACUUUGCCUUUUCUUCCAGGCUGAGACUUUUUCUAUAGCUAUGAUCACUGGUGUCCAAACUUUGUUUUUUUGAUGGCUGCAGUACCAGUCAAAGUCAAAGUGUUCCUGGAAGAGACUGUUUGACUGGGGUGGAGCAAGCUGCCCUGUACAGGAGGAUGUGCAGGAUGUACUGCCUUUCAUUAAGAUAGUCCUUUCCUCCCAGCAGACAACCCAUGUGAUCAAGAAAGUAUUGGGAACUAUUGGUGCAACUCCGGUCACUCAGUCCAGCUCCCACCAUCAUGGCGCUGCUCUCCCCUGUGAGAUGGAGAUGCCAGGCCCCAAUGUGGUAGCAGGAUGAUAUUGCAUCGUGAAGUCGGUGCUCUUUAAAGAUCCCUUUUUUUAGAUGGGGCCAAUCGUCUGAAGGGUUGCACAUUCAAUGUUGACUCUGAUAACAUGCAGAGUAAAGAGAUAGGAGUCUAUUUGCUGGUUGGUGAGUUCAGGGGCUGGUUGCAGCCAUAGGCUUCUCCUAAGAAAACAGAUGCUCUAAUGAAAGCUUCAGGAAGGUCGUGAGCUAAGGAAGCUUAUAUGAGAGUAGUGACAGUACAGGCAGCCAUGGGGAAGGGAGGAAGGAUUUGUGGUUCAGGGUCCUUGCAAUACUGCGAGAUGGACUCUGAAUUGUAGCAUGUCACAUUAUGGGAAGGUUUUGCUUUCCUUUUCUUUUUGUAGAUGAAGCAGUUUUGUUUCUGUGGUUGCUUGGAUCUGGUGCAAACCAGAAGUGAAACUGUAAGCUGGAAAAUCUGCAGGUUUCAUUGCUGCUCAGAACAGGGUUUUUUUUUCCUUUCCUUCCUGGCUUGCUUAUAAACUGCUGCUGCCGGCUUUUUAGUUUUGUCAUGACAAAGAUAGUUCAGGAAAUCAGCAUUGGUUUCUCUUAUCUGGGGCACAGCCGUGCAGGGUGGAAGGGGGGGUCACAUUGGCUGUCUGGUCAUGGAAACCAGUAUCUUUGAUCGUUCUGCCCCAUGCACAUUGGGUAUUUGUAAUCCCUCCCAGCUUACACCUGCUUCUUUAUGUUGCUGGUUUUUCAAACCUGUUAAUAUGGAACCCAGAAAAAGAAGCUCGGGAAGGAGGGUCAUGCCAACCUAGAGGUGUAACAGGGUGAGUUAUGAUGCAUGGGGUAAUGGCGACUAUGGUGAUGAUUAUUUUUGUGCCCCUCAAAAAGAUGGUGCCCAGGGCUGCUGCCCCUGUCAUCCCCUCUCAGGUAUACUACUGCACCUACCCACAAACAACACUUUCAAGGCAAUUUCCCCUCCAAUUUAACUUAGAUUGUGCUUGAGAGAUUAUACUUUGAAUGCUCCCUAAGAUAACAAAGGAGUACAUAACCCCAUCAGAGGAAAUGUUUAAUCACACUUUACAGUGAUCCAAAGUUACAUCUCCAGAGUAUUCCAAAGAGCUCACACACAACUUCCUACAAAGGGUUCACAAAACAUAGCAGUUGGCUGGGCACCCUACACUUCACAAAUAGCUUUAAAGUGACCUCUCUACCCUGUGGGAACUGAGAGUACAGUGAAAUACUCAGAACUCUGUAGGAAAUGCUCAGUAAUUCCUGGCUUCAUGCCCUCGGUGAAGAGAUGUGGCCUGUGAUGGAAAGGCCAGCUUUAAACUACAUAGCUCAAAUACUAGGAGCAGUUUAGCUCAGCAUGCAGUUGUUACUCGAGUGUUUUGCUUCUUGGGUGAUUGGUGCGGCCCACGCUGAGCUCCGUACUGCUGUGGGUAGACUUCUGUUGGAUUUGAGCUAGGUUAUUCAAAGCUGUGGUAUGUCUAUGCCACACUACAGUCACAACAGUAAUUGCAGUACAGACUUAUGCUGAAUGAAGGAACCCUCUCCUUGGUCUCUGCUAUUUACAUGUUCUCUGCCCUGCUCUCUUAUAUCCUCCCAAUGUGCCAGGACUUGAGCUAAAUUUGAGACAGUUUACUGUUGACACAGUGAGAAUCACUCCAGGCCGUCUCAGUGCUUUUGCCCUUGUCACCACCAUGGUUCUGUCAAGCCACCUCAACAGCUACCCAAAGGAAAGGCAGCAGAAUGAAUGCUGAGGGACUGGGGCUCUCUGUGCAUGUGCAGAAUAUGUGCAGGUGCAAAGUAGGAUCCAACCCAGGAGCCUGCCUGCCCAGGAAGGUUCCUUCUUUAAUGCUUGUUUUCAUUUUUCAGCUGAUGGGUAUGUAGGGCACGCCCGCAAGCCAGCUCACUCCUUCCCUGUUUACACACAGCCCGAAAAGAUGUAAGAUGGGCUUACAGUCCAAUGCAAGACUCAGGAAAGGAGUGCUGCAUUCCUGAGGAGUGACAAUGGCUUAUACAAUGCAUGCCUGAUCUACACUAUAAAACUUUACUGGCAAAGCUUACCUGCAGUUGGCGUAGCCUCAUGUGUCCACAUCAGCAUUCAGUCUUGUCAACAAAACCCUCAAUUCUGACAAGAAAAGUUGAACCAGGUCAUCAGGAUCCUUUUACCAGGACAGUGCCUGAAUGGUUUCCUGUCCAGUGCAUUUCCUGUCCUCCAGCAAAAAUUCCACUGACAUCAUGGUGAGUAUAAGUCCACACCUAUUUAAAACCCCCCAAAUAUUUUGGAAAUGCCUCUUUUCCUGAGGCUGAGUUUUGGGAGCUCACCUCUGCAAGGAUGGUUCCAACAGUAGCUUGAUUGUGCGCUACUGCUUGUCCUACGAGAGAGGUCUUGGAUUUGUUUAGCUGGUUGUGAGCAGUGUGUGCAAGCACAACUGGGGCAUUUCCUGUGCCCCAUUUCCACUGUGCUGUGUGCUGAUAAACGGUUCAUGAAGCCAUGGUGAGUAUGCAACUACUUUUAUUCUUUUAUACCACUUUCAGGGAAAUUAUUUAGCAAUUAUCUUCUGUUGUCUGGUAUUUCCUCUUUAACAUUAAAAAUAGCUCUGUGUCUGUCUGCCAGUCACCUGGGCUAGGACUUCUGUCAGGAACAUCACUCCUAUACUCAACAUGAGAAGGAAGAAAAAGGAUAGGAAAAGUUGUGUUUUCUGACUUCUCAGCCCAGGGCCCAGGAGACUGGGGAAUGGCAAAGAGACAGCAAGGCCGAGGCAUCAGGCUACUCCUAAAACAAGAUAUUCUGACAGUGAAGUGUCUAACUGAUGAAAACAUCCAUAGGCUAGAUCUCCAAUGGGCACUGCACAGCAAGGGGCUGGACUAGAUGACAUCCUGAGGUCCCUUCCAACCCUACUUUUCUAUGAUCCUAUAAUCUUGGGGGAGCAGGGAGGUUGGCCACUUGAUGAAGCUGACUGGGGGUUAUCUGACAAAGGGGAUGCUAAGGGAAAGUCCCUCACCAGUCAUUUGGAGGUCAGGGGGAGAGAGACAGAGGAAGCCACCUGCAGAAGGGCAGUCAAAGAGGAAGGACCCUGGGCUUCUUAGAAGACACUGAUCCAGAUUCCCCCAUAGAGAAAUGAAGUGCAUACAGCUGCUUUAUUGCUUUGUCUGGAUCUGCACCUCUCUUGUGCUGGCUACAAUAAAGAGCUUAGAAACCUUUGCAAAGAUGCUGUGUUUUGUGCUUCAGCAAUUAUGCAUCCCUGGAGAAAGAGACUGGAAAUCAGAAUGUUCACAACCCUGGACUGUUGGGAAAGGGUCCUUCUAGGACAAGGAGCUGUAUGAAAAGAGCCCAAACAUUGUGGCCCAAAGUUAGUGCCUGGGCUCACUUCAGCCUCAGGAAGCUUAAAAACAUGCAUGGUCAGCAUGUCAACCCACCCCUCGUGCAGCAACUUGAUAAGCAUCCAGAAAGUGGAGCUCUACCAGGGAUGUGACAGUGGUCCUUACCCAUGUCUAUCACUUGAAGAUCAAUAGUCAUGCAUAUCUACAUAGCCUUAUUUCUAUACCCAAGCUUGGACACAGACUGAUAAGGAUUAAAGAAACCUGUGGAGGUCAAAGAUGGCUGGAAGUAGCUCAGUAAACUUCUUUAAAAUAAAGAGGUUUGGGACAGGAUGAUAAUUUGCAAAGAUAUUUUUGAUCACUGGCUUAACUCCCAUUUAUCUGAGUGUCCAGCAUCUCUUCCUCUGGAAGGGAACACAACUAAUACUCCUCAGGGAUGGGCUUAGCAGAGCCAGAAGACCAUGGGACCAUCCCACAAGUGUUUUUUUUGUCUUUCUUUCUGAACGAACUCAGCUACAUGAACAUAAUCAAGGCUUGUCUGCUUUUUUUUUUUUUUUUUUUAUGUCCCACUCAGUCAAAGUGUUGGCCUGCUGUCCUAUUCUGUGUUUGGAGGUGACAGUGAACUUGAAGAGCUGUGAUUUUAGAGUCACAACCAAACAUUUGUGAGAUGGACCCAAGGAUGGCAGAAGCCAGUGGAAGGGCAGUGGCCCAUUAUGGAUUAACUUAUUAGAGUCUCUUCCAGAAGGGCAAGCAGCUUGUCAUCCUUAAAGAAAUAGCAGCAAGACUCCUGCUCAGGCAGUCUUCACCUCAGAAAAGCUGAGAAGUCACUCUGAUUUCCCCGUAGGCUGAAUUUUUAAGGUCUGAGUUAGCAGCUCUGGUUACAGAGGUUAAGGUCUGAGUUAGCAGCUCUGAAUUCAGACCUGGUUGCUAGUGGGUACCACACCAAGGAGGGAACCAGGUGUGCAUUGGCUUAAUUUGUUCUAAGAAAAUCAUCCCCUCAGAGAAAUCCUUGGUAAGAUGUUCUCUGUUGCCUGUCCCCAUCAGAUAGUGCUCAACACAUCGUUGUGAAACUGAGCUUGGAGUGAAACCUCAUUUGCUUCUUUGUAAAGACAGCCAAGGAUCUCCUUUGGAGAUGAGCCCACAAGGACUUGGUAUGUAGCCCUGGGGCUGGCACAAUGUAUUGCGGCUUCACCAUAGGUAAGAAUGCAAUACAAUAAAAUAGAGACAGGUGGGUGGGAAAAGACUCAUUAGACCUGACAGCUCUGCCAAUGGCCUGAGCAGGAUUGUCCUGCACAACACAUUGUCUUGGCCUUUGUCAAGUCUCAUUUUAAAGUAUCAUUUUAAAUGCCCCAAGACAGGGCUACUUUCAUUAGGAGACUGUUCUGUACUCAGAAGCUCUUACAGUCAAUCAGACCUACAUGACACUGGCCAGCAUUUUCCUUUUCUUAAUUCAAUUCCCAUCUCCAGUGAAUCAUCCUAAAGAAUUCUUUACCCUGCUCAGAGCUAACUACCAAUAUCUCUCGGCUGUUACCAUAUCUCCCUUUAUCUUGCUUUAGUCACCAUUGUCAAAUGCAUUACCAGUGUAUUUUCCGGAGCUGAAUUUGGGAGGAAUGUGAUACAACAGAAACAGACGCUGAAAAAUCCCCUCUCAAUACACACGGAAUUGCUGGUGGCAAAUAGAAGGUGAAAAUCCACUGUAUAUAUGGAGGAUGUGAUGAACAGAACAGGUGCACGCUGAGCUGGUUUGCAGACCAACACAGCUACCAAGUACACCCCUGAAACAUGGAAGAUGCUGAAUUUUAGCCGAUUUUUGAUUUUAAACUUCAUUGCAGAACAAUAAGGAAGUUUUUUUUGCCUCCCUACCUACCAUCUGACACCUCCAGGGAAGGAAUUCUACCUGAACAACACAUCAAAGAGCUACUCAGCACAGCUCACAAAGACACUCUCAUGGACCCAGAGUGACAGCCUUUCAUCUUCAGCUCCCUCUGUGCAAAAAUGAAGUUUAUUUCCUACCUAUGGGGACUUUUUACCAUCUUGUACUAUCUACACUUUUCCCAGAGCCUGACGAAGGGACUUUGAUCCCAAAAGCUUGCAGAAAAGGACAGUUUUCUUGCCAUUUUCCAGUUGGACUAAAUAAAGGUAUCAUUUUGGAA